GCUGGGCGCAGUGGCGCACAACUGUAAUCCCAGCAGCUUGGGAGGCUGAGGCAGGAGGAUCACGAGUUCAAAGCUAGCCUCAGUGACAGGGAGGCGCUAAGCAACUCAGUGAGACCCUGUCUCUA
rnacentral:sRNA from 1 species